GAUGAAGAACGCAGUGAAACGCGAUAUGUAAUGUGAAUUGCAGAAUUCAGUGAAUCAUCGAAUCUUUGAACGCACAUGGCGCCUUCCAGUAUCCUGGGAGGCAUGCCUGUCCGAGCGUCGUUUCAACCCUCGAGCCCUCGUGGCCCGGCGUUGGGGAUCUGCCACGGCAGGCCCCGAAAUACAGUGGCGGACCCGUUAGGCCCUUCCUUUGCGUAGUAGCAUCAGCCUCGCAUCGGGAGCCGGCGGGCUCUCCUGCCUCUAAACCCCCCAACAAGCCCGCUCCGGCGGCACCAAGGUUGACCUCGGAUCAGGUAGGAAUACCCGCUGAACUUAAGCAUAUCAAUAAGCGGAGGA
rnacentral:misc_RNA from 1 species